GAUGAACGCUGGCGGCGUGCCUAAUACAUGCAAGUCGAGCGAACAGAUGAGGAGCUUGCUCCUCUGACGUUAGCGGCGGACGGGUGAGUAACACGUGGAUAACCUACCUAUAAGACUGGGAUAACUUCGGGAAACCGGAGCUAAUACCGGAUAAUAUAUUGAACCGCAUGGUUCAAUAGUGAAAGACGGUUUUGCUGUCACUUAUAGAUGGAUCCGCGCCGCAUUAGCUAGUUGGUAAGGUAACGGCUUACCAAGGCAACGAUGCGUAGCCGACCUAAGGGGGGGAUCGGCAACACGGGAGCUGAGACGCGGUCCAGACCCCGACGGGAGGCAGCAGCAGGGAAUCUUCGGCAAGGGGCGAAAGCCUGACGGAGCAACGCCGCGUGAGUGAUGAAGGUCUUCGGAUCGUAAAACUCUGUUAUUAGGGAAGAACAAAUGUGUAAGUAACUAUGCACGUCUUGACGGUACCGAAUCAGAAAGCCCCGGCUACCUACGU
rnacentral:rRNA from 1 species